CGUCGCCACACCCCUUCUCGGUUUUUGCCUCCGAUGAGGCCCUUCCCGGCCUCCGUUUAAUGCAAUUUUUAUAUCACCGUGAUCACCAUUCUUUUCUCUACAGGUUGAUCAGAGCCGAAUCACCAAAACACGAACUUCACCGGAGAGCCGCCGCUGGUAAGCUUCGGUUUUCCGUAAAUUUUUGGCCCCCCGAGGGCCGUAGGGUUGUUUUAUCGCAGGAACCAAUGCGAGUGUGGCCGAAUUCGGCCAGAAACGACCGAAAACGGCCAACCCGAGGUGAACCGCCGUCGCUUGCGGCGGCGCCGUCGCCGGAGCACGGCGGAGCCACC
rnacentral:lncRNA from 1 species